UCAUACAAACUUUAGCUUUACCAUCAAAGCCUUGAGAAGAAAGAAGAAGCUUGGUUAGUGUUUUGGAGUCAAAUAUUACUAGAUGUCAUGUGUAUGAGUGAGUAUGAGAACUAGAACCAUAACCGGAUCUUAAAAACCUAAGUAUUGAAUCUUUGUUAGAAGAUACAAAGACAAAGACUCAUACGGACUUCGACUACACUAUCAAAGCUUUGAGAAGCAAGAAGAAGCUUGGUUAGUGUUUUGGAUUCGAAUAUGACUUGAUGUCAUGUGUAUGACUCAGUAUAAACACUAGAACCGCAACGGAUCUUAAAAGCAUAAGUAUUGUAUCAUUU
rnacentral:sRNA from 1 species